CAGCAGCCGCCGGUAAUACGGAGGGAGCUAGCGUUGUUCGGAAUUACUGGGCGUAAAGCGCGCGUAGGCGGUUAUUCAAGUCAGAGGUGAAAGCCCGGGGCUCAACCCCGGAACUGCCUUUGAAACUAGGUGACUAGAAUCUUGGAGAGGUCAGUGGAAUUCCGAGUGUAGAGGUGAAAUUCGUAGAUAUUCGGAAGAACACCAGUGGCGAAGGCGACUGACUGGACAAGUAUUGACGCUGAGGUGCGAAAGCGUGGGGAGCAAACAGGAUUAGAUACCCGCGUAGUCCCUGUCUCUUAUU
rnacentral:rRNA from 1 species